rnacentral:rRNA from 1 species
GACGAAGGAUGCAAGCGUUAUCCGGAUUCAUUGGGUUUAAAGGGAGCGUAGGUGGCCUUAUAAGUCAGUGGUGAAAUCUCUGGGCUUAACCCAGAAAUUGCCAUUGAUACUGUAGGGCUUGAGUACAGUUGCUGUGGGCGGAAUAUGACAUGUAGUGGUGAAAUACAUAGAGAUGUCAUAGAACACCGAUUGCGAAGGCAGCUCACAAAAACUGUAAACUGACACUGAGGCUCGAAAAGUGCGGGGAUCAAACAGG